UACGUAGGGGGUAAGCGUUAUCCGGAUUUACUGGGUGUAAAGGGAGCGUAGACGGCAGGGCAAGUCUGAUGUGAAAGGUCGGGGCCCAACCCCGGGACUGCAUUGGAAACUGUCCGGCUGGAGUACAGGAGAGGUAAGUGGAAUUCCUAGUGUAGCGGUGAAAUGCGUAGAUAUUAGGAGGAACACCAGUGGCGAAGGCGGCUUACUGGACUGUAACUGACGUUGAGGCUCGAAAGCGUGGGGAGCAAACAGG
rnacentral:rRNA from 1 species